rnacentral:SRP_RNA from 2 species
GGUCGGGUCCUGUGCAACGUCUGCCCGCAAACCAGGUCAGGGCCGGAAGGCAGCAGCCUCCAUCGGGACAAGGCGUGUGCCGCAGAUCGCCUGGCCGGU